rnacentral:rRNA from 1 species
AUUCCAGCUCCAAUAGCGUAUAUUAAUGUUGUUGCAGUUAAAAAGCUCGUAGUUGGAUUUCUGGAUUGAGCGGCUGGCCUUGCGCGCAAGCGUUCGUGUCGGCUUCGUUUCGGUCCAUCCUCAGGGGGACUUGCGCUGGCAUUAACGUGUCGGUGUUGGGACGCCUGUCGUUUACUGUGAACAAAUUAGAGUGUUCAAAGCAAGGUGUACUUGAAUACAUUAGCAUGGAAUAAUAAGAUAGGACUUUGGUGGUUCUUUUUGAUAUUUUGUUGGUUUGCACGCCAAAGUAAUGAUUAAUAGGAGCAGUUGGGGGUAUUCGUAUUCAAUUGUCAGAGGUGAAAUUCUUGGAUUUAUAGAAGACGAACUACUGCGAAAGCAUUUACCAAGGAUGUUUUCAUCG